AGAGAGUUCAAGAGUACGUGAAACCGUUCAGGGGUAAACGGGAGACAUCCUGAAUUCGAAAGGGAUUGGAUUCAACUGUAUGGUCCGGUAUAGUCCAGGCCGCUCCCUGCCAGAUGGCGCCGGUCGCCCGCGGCGAUUAACCUCGCUUGCGGUGUCGUUCCCGGCGUUCACUCGGCGGGGUGGCGUAUCGCUCUGGAGCCUGGAGCAGUGCACUUCCUCCCUAGUAGAAACGUCGCGACCCGUUGGGUGCCGGUCAAAGGCCCGGGCAGGCAGACCGUGCGUCCCGCGGCGGGUUCGCCCGUCGCGGUCGCGCGGACGUCCGGUGACCCGGCCGGCCGCCCGACGGUAUGACCAGAGGAGUCGAUCCGCUAAAUGAGAAGCACUUGGGUUGGUGCAGCGUCCGGCCUCGCGCCGACGCGUGCGGGGAAGUGCCGACUUGUUCGGCGCGGGUGUCCGUGCGUCGUCACGGCCCCGGCCCCGUCUCGCCGUCGGUCGUCGGGUGUCCUCGGACUGGAUCGCCGCUCCCGUCUGCGACGCCCACCUUCGGAUGGUCUCCCG
rnacentral:rRNA from 1 species